CUAUACAGUAGAGUACACUCACCUUGGGUACUCCUCCCGAGUGGAUCAAUAUGGGAUGAUUCUCCCAUUCCAAAAUGAUUUUCUCAUUCGAAAAUAAUUGCGUAUGCAGAUCAGACGACUAGUAUACAUUUAGUAGUAGUUAAUGCAAGUGCCUUCACCUACACGACCGGGUUCAUUCUCAGUGGUUCAUUCUAGACUUGCUCCAAGUCUCCAGGUUGAUUCCUGCUAUGUACUGGACUGCUGGUUGUAUUUUGCGUCAAUUACAUGCAAGAAGGUGCUUUUUGAGAUUUACCGUCUACCAAAUUGGCCCUUACUACACCUCCAAUUAAGCAAAACAGUUUAGAGCAAAAAGAGCUAUCCACUUGUAUCCAAUGUCUGUGUAUAUAAAGUGAGUUUAGUAAUUCCUAAAUUAAUCUUGUACAUG